GUGAUCUCAGUAACUUCUGAACUUUGUUUUUAGAAGCAGUGAAAGAAAACAGUAAGAGAAGAGAAAUGGAAGAGAAGACUAGGAAGGCAAAGCUUGGAAAAGAGAAAGCCGAACAAGAAAAGUUAGAAUACCAGAAGAAAAAGAAACAAUUCAUUGAUAUAAACAGAGGGGGUGAUGAGACUGGUCUGAUGGAUAAUCUUCUAGAAGCCCUACAAUCAGUUGCAGAAUUCUGAGACUGACGAAAGUGGAUUCCAAGGAAUCCAGUGGUAAAUCAACCCUGUGCAACAAGGGCUAAUCCAAGAUCAUCUACAUA
rnacentral:lncRNA from 1 species